rnacentral:rRNA from 1 species
CGCAGCCGCGGUAAUUCCAGCUCCAAUAGCGUAUAUUAAAGUUGUUGCAGUUAAAAAGCUCGUAGUUGAAUUUCGGGGUCAGUAGGUUGGUCGUGCCACUGGUAUGUACUGGCCUCACUGAUUCCUCCUUCCUGAUGAACCGUAAUGCCAUUAAUUUGGUGUUGCGGGGAAUCUGGACUGUUACUUUGAAAAAUUAGAGUGUUUAAAGCAGGCUAACGCUUGAAUACAUUAGCAUGGAAUAAUGGAAUAGGACGUUCGAUCCUAUUUUGUUGGCUUCUAGUAUUGACGUAAUGAUUAAUAGGGAUAGUUGGGGGCAUUAGUAUUCAAUUGUCAGAGGUGAAAUUCUUGGAUUUAUUGAAGACUAACUACCGCGAAAGCAUUUGCCAAGGAUGUUUUCAUUAAUCAAGAACGAAAGUUAGGGGAUCGAAGACGAUCAGAUACCGUCGUAGUCUUAACCAUAAACUAUGCCGACUAGGGAUCGGAUGAUGUUAAUUUUUAAUGACUCAUUCGGCGCCUUACG